rnacentral:rRNA from 1 species
GACGAACGCUGGCGGCGUGCUUAACACAUGCAAGUCGUACGGUAAGGCCCUUUCGGGGGUACACGAGUGGCGAACGGGUGAGUAACACGUGAGUAACCUGCCCACAACUUUGGGAUAACGCUAGGAAACUGGUGCUAAUACUGGAUAUGUGCUCCUGCUGCAUGGUGGGGGUUGGAAAGCUCCGGCGGUUGUGGAUGGACUCGCGGCCUAUCAGCUUGUUGGUGGGGUAGUGGCCUACCAAGGCGGCGACGGGUAGCCGGCCUGAGAGGGUGACCGGCCACAUUGGGACUGAGAUACGGCCCAGACACCUACGGGAGGCAGCAGUGGGGAAUAUUGCACAAGGGGCGCAAGCCUGAUGCAGCAACGCCGCGGGCGGGAUGACGGCCUUCGGGUUGUAAACCGCUUUCAGCAGGGACGAAGCUUUUUGUGACGGUACCUGCAGAAGAAGCACCGGCUAACUACGUG